GGGAGGAUGGCCGAGUGGUUAAGGCGCUGUGUUUAGGUCCGUUGACGAAUCAAAACCGCAGUCACCUACGGUGGCGUGGGUUCAAGUCCCACUCCUCUCA
rnacentral:tRNA from 1 species